rnacentral:rRNA from 1 species
GCCCUUAGAGUUUGAUCCUGGCUCAGAUUGAACGCUGGCGGCAGGCCUAACACAUGCAAGUCGAGCGGUAACAGGAAAUAGCUUGCUAUUUUGCUGACGAGCGGCGGACGGGUGAGUAAUGGCUGGGAACCUGCCCUAACGAGGGGGAUAACUACUGGAAACGGUAGCUAAUACCGCAUGAUAUCUCUUUCUAUAAACAGAGGAGAUCAAAGAGGAGGACCUUCGGGCUUCUCGCGUUAGGAUGGGCCCAGUUGGGAUUAGCUAGUUGGUGAGGUAAUGGCUCACCAAGGCGACGAUCCCUAUCUGGUUUGAGAGGAUGAUCAGCCACACUGGAACUGAGACACGGUCCAGACUCCUACGGGAGGCAGCAGUGGGGAAUAUUGCACAAUGGGCGCAAGCCUGAUGCACCAUCCGCGUGUGUGAAGAAAGCCUUCCGGUUGUAAAGCACUUUCAGCAGUGAGGAAGAUAAUGUAGUUAAUACCUGCAUUGUUGACGUUACUGCAGAAAAACACCGGUUACUCCUCCACACCGCGUAUCCGAAGGGCAGCGUAUCGAAUCUGGCGUAACCAUCAGCGUUGUACAAUUUGGGGAAGUACCGGUUCGCAAAGAUUAAAACUCAAAAUGAAUUGACGGGGGCCCGCACAAAGCGGGUGGAAGCAUGUGGUUUAAUUCGAUGCAACGGGAAGACCUUUACUUACUCUUGACAUCUACAGAAGCUUGCGAAGACGCGAGUGUGCUUUCGGGAACUGUAAGACAGGUGCUGCAUGGCUGUCGUCAGCUCGUGUUGUGAAAUGUUGGGUUAAGUCCCGCAACGAGCGCAACCCUUUAUCCUUGUUUGCCAGCACGUAAUGGUGGGAACUCCAGGGAGACUGCCGGUGAUAAACCGGAGGAAGGUGGGGACGACGUCAAGUCAUCAUGGCCCUUACGAGUAGGGCUACACACGUGCUACAAUGGCAUAUACAGAGGGCAGCAAGACCGCGAGGUGGAGCGAAUCCCAGAAAGUAUGUCGUAGUCCGGAUUGGAGUCUGCAACUCGACUCCAUGAAGUCGGAAUCGCUAGUAAUCGUGGAUCAGAAUGCCACGGUGAAUACGUUCCCGGGCCUUGUACACACCGCCCGUCACACCAUGGGAGUGGGCUGCACCAGAAGUAGAUAGCUUAACCUUCGGGAGGGCGUUUACCACGGUGUGGUUCAUGACUGGGGUGAAGUCGUAACAAGGUAACCAAGGGC